rnacentral:miRNA from 1 species
UGUAAGGGGAGGAUGGGAGGGAAGAGUAACAAAAGUGAAAAUAAGAACUAAAAACUGAAAUCUAUUUAGUUCUUGUUUUCACUUUUAUUACUCCUCCCUCCUAUCCUCCCCUUUUAUCCUCUCU